rnacentral:rRNA from 1 species
AUUGAACGCUGGCGGCAGGCCUAACACAUGCAAGUCGAACGAGUGGAGGACGGGGGAGUAAUGUCUGGGAAACUGCCUGAUUGCGGGGGAUAACUACUGGACACGGUAGCUAAUACCACAUACCAUCGGAUGUGCCCGGUGGGGAUUCGCUAGUGGUGGGGGUAGAGGAUCACCUAGGCGACGAUCCCUAGAGGGUCUGAGAGGAUGACCAGCCACACUGGAAUUGAGCCACGGUCCAGACUCGUACGGGAGGCAGCAGUGGGGAGUAGUGCAUAAUGGACGCAAGCCUGAUGCAGCCCUGCCACGUGUAUGAAGAAGGCCUUCGGGUUGUAAAGUACUUUCAGUGUGGAGGCGUUACCCGAAGAAGAAGCACCGGCUAACUCCGUGCCAGCAGCCGCGGUAAUUC